UUCAACGUACAUAACUUCCUU
ensembl:piRNA 21ur-276 ncRNA